rnacentral:rRNA from 1 species
GUAGGUGGCAAGCGUUGUCCGGAAUCAUUGGGCGUAAAGCGCGCGCAGGCGGUCCUUUAAGUCUGAUGUGAAAGCCCACGGCUCAACCGUGGAGGGUCAUUGGAAACUGGGGGACUUGAGUACAGAAGAGGAAAGCGGAAUUCCAAGUGUAGCGGUGAAAUGCGUAGAGAUUUGGAGGAACACCAGUGGCGAAGGCGGCUUUCUGGUCUGUAACUGACGCUGAGGCGCGAAAGCGUGGGGAGCAAACAGGGAUUAGAUACCCUGGUAGUCCACGCCGUAAACGAUGAGUGCUAAGUGUUAGGGGGUUUCCCGCCCCUUAGUGCUGCAGCUAACGCAUUAAGCACUCCGCCUGGGGAGUACAGCCGCAAGGCUG